UACGGAGGGGGCUAGCGUUGUUCGGAAUUACUGGGCGUAAAGCGCACGUAGGCGGCUUUGUAAGUUAGAGGUGAAAGCCCGGAGCUCAACUCCGGAAUUGCCUUUAAGACUGCAUCGCUUGAAUCAUGGAGAGGUGAGUGGAAUUCCAGGUGUAGCGGUGAAAUGCGUAGAUAUCUGGAGGAACACCGGUGGCGAAGGCGGGUCUCUGGACAGUUCCUGACACUGAGGCACGAAGGCCAGGGGAGCAAACGGG
rnacentral:rRNA from 1 species